rnacentral:tRNA from 2 species
GCCGGGAUGGCGGAAUUGGUAGACGCACACGACUCAAAAUCGUGCGGAGUAAUCCAUGAGAGUUCAAUUCUCUCUCCCGGCACCA